rnacentral:rRNA from 1 species
GUGCGCGGGAGAACUCUUGCUAAGGAACUCGGCAAAAUGGCCCCGUAACUUCGGGAGAAGGGGCGCCCCGGUAGGGUCAGGGACCCCGCCCGACGCGAGCGUCAGCUUUCGUCGGGUGGGCCCGAGCCCGAGGGGGCCGCAGUGAAAAGGCCCAAGCGACUGUUUAGCAAAAACACAGGUCUCUGCGAAGCCGCAAGGCGA